rnacentral:tRNA from 1 species
UCCUCUGUAGCUCAGUUGGUUAGAGCGACGGACUGUUAAUCCGCAGGUCGCUGGUUCAAAUCCAGCCAGGGGAGCCA